CUCCCGCCGGCGACCGGCGCACGGGUGAGUAACACGUAUGGAACCUGCCCGUAGCAGGGGGAUAAGCGGAAGAAAUUCCGUCUAAUACCGCGUAACAACCCGAGGAGGCAUCUCCUCGGGUUUAAAGGAAGCGAUUCCGGCUACGGAUGGUCAUGCGUCGCAUUAGCUAGUUGGCGGGGUAACGGCCCACCAAGGCGACGAUGCGUAGGGGUUCUGAGAGGAAGGUCCCCCACACUGGUACUGAGACACGGACCAGACUCCUACGGAAGGCAGCAG
rnacentral:rRNA from 1 species